ensembl:lncRNA
ACCUGCAAUGCGUCAAGUGAAGAUGCUGGGGUCUGCCAUCUUAUGGAGCCUGAAUGGUACUACCAAAUAACAGAAUGUGGAACUACGUGUUCAAAUCAGGAGAAUAGUUUGCAUUUUCUCCUUUUCAGGAGAGCUUGUUGGGUCAGAUAUCCAAACUGGAUCCCUGCAUGUGUAUCAUAUUCGUCUGACCUGCGAGGCCACCCACAGACCCAUGUGCUACGGAUCGUUUCAGCUGUCCCCACAUGAAGUCAGCUGCAGCUGGCCCAAGGCCCGGCUGGAUUUGAUCUGUUUCAGAGGGAAGCAGUGAGGUGUGACUGUGGCACGCUGUUUGUUGCUCUUCAGUCUGGGACCAUGCAGUGGAGAAAUUGCAGCUGUUCCUUUGCAGGGGCAACUUUGCUCCUUCAACUGAAUUUAUUCUCUCCAGCUUUGUCCUGCAUGGUGGUGACUGUAGUUUCCAGACCAGGGAGAGUCUUGAAGGCGACAUUUGUACAGUGCUGGGCCUUAGCUAGUAACUGCUGGAUGUGAGAUGGUUUUACAUUUGUGGCAUAGAUAAUCUGCAACACAAAUAAUCUAAUCAUAGAUAAUUGAGAAUCAGUGCCAUGGUUGUUACAAGCCUGCUUUAGCUUCUGAUCCUGAGCAGGCUGUUAUUUUACUGCCGUUCAAGGAGCAGUAUCAGCUUGAGGUAUUCCUGCUUUCCUUUUUUGUUCUCUUCUGUCUGUGGCAUGCCACCCAUUCAGUUGUAGGAGCACACCUUGUCAAAACAAUGUUUUUUUUAGAAUCAGCUCCCUGGCUUAGUGCUGACUUUUUAAUGAGCCGUACUUAAGAAGCCCAACAAAUAGCUUUGCUGGCACCAAUGAGGAGCAGAGGGGGUAUUAGGAAGCUUUAAGCUACUGUUACCAUUUUUUAUUGUGAAACAGUAGCCACAGGGCAGCUAUACUCCUCUAAUUCCGCUAAUAGCUCUAAUAGCUAUAUGAUUGUAAAUUAGGAGUAAUCUCAAGUAAAAGCAAUACUUCC